AUGAUACUACCCCCGUCCCAAAAUUCUUGUCUUUGAUUUAUCUAAAUAUAAAUGUAUAUAGUCAUGUAUUAGUAUUUAGAUACAUUCAUUUCUAAAAAAUCUAAGACAAUAAUUUUGAGACGGAGGGAGUACUAG
rfam:Hordeum vulgare subsp. vulgare, WGS project CAJW01000000 data, contig: morex_contig_1569419